rnacentral:lncRNA from 1 species
CAGACCCAAGAAGGAACCUGACAUGGUGACCCAGACAGAGCCAGGAGAGAAGCCAUGAGCUUAGCUCACACAGAUUCUGACUGUGAGAAGAGGCAAGAGAUGGAAGGCAACUUUAAGUACAGAAAACAAACUCACACAUCCAGAGGAAGUGCAUAGGUCCGGGCAACGAAAAGCCUGAAAUCACAUAGAUGGCAAGACAAGAGUCAAUCCUAACAAAACCAAGGAAUAUGGCCAUGAUGGAAUGACAAAAGUCCAGACAUAUUCUCCCAUCAUAAACAACAAGAAAACUGGGUGAAAAUGACAUAACAAGUGUUUUCAGAUGUUGGACAACAGAUAGUGCAAUACUUUGAUUCCUAAGAAACGGGGGAAAAGUGAGGUAAGCCCUUGGCCUUCUGCCUGGGAUCUCAUUCUGUACCCCAUGGCAGGUUGAGGAAUCCUCAGCAGAGCUCAGCAGUCUCACUAAGUUGAGGACAGAGAUUUAGUUCAGGGAGGCUGAGGUGACUCAAAAUUGUGGAGCAGAGUUUCAGAGAGGAGAGCUGCAUAGAAAAAUCACUUCAGAGUCUUUGCCGAAUAUUAGGUCAUGCAUGCCUAGGGCAAAACUCCACGAGGCCAGGCAAUGAAUGGGGAGCUGGAGACUGAGCAAUCCCCAAAAAUCACAGCAGUGAGAGACAUGUAAACUCCAACCAGCAGGAGCGGAACGUCCUCACGGAUCACCUGGACCUUCAGUAGAGACCACAGAAGUGUCAUGACUGGGUGGUGGGAUUAUCCCUAGAGUCAUUGCUUCUCUAGACUUGCCCUAAAAAUCUUCAAAACAAGCCUUGGGAGGAUCAAACCGAUCAACAAGUAACUUGUCUAACUGGCAGGAAACACUUCAACUUCUUUAAAGGACAACAAGAAAAUCCAGAUGCUCAAAACACAAUAUUCAGUAUCCAAUAAAAAAUUACAGGACAUGCCAAAAAGUAGGCAAAUGUGUUCUAUAAUCAGGAAGAAAAAUCAAUCAGAAAAUCAUAGAAAUGAUAGAAUCAGCAGACAAAGACUUUGAAACAGCUGUUAAGCUCUGUCGAAAUGAUAAAAAGUAAACAUAUAUGUAGUAAAGAAAUAAAUGGAAGAUAUAUUUUAAAAAGACAAAGUGAAACUUCUAGAAAUUAAAAAAAUACAGUAUAUGCCAAUGAAACAUCUUCUGGAAAGAUUGAAAGUAUAAUUGCAAGAGAAAAUAUUAGUAAACUCAAAGUCUGGUAAUAGAAACUAUCCAAAAUGAAUCAUAUGCAAGAAAAUGAUCCAAAAAAUAAUGAACAGUGUCUCAGUGACCUUUGGGACAAUUUGGAGUGGUGUAACAUAAAGUUCCAGAAGGACAGGCUGGGGCAAGGGAAAACAGUAGAAUAUUUGAAGACAUGAUGGCUAAAAUUUUCCAAAUUUGAUGAAAAAUAUAAGCUCAAUGAACCUCAAAUAGGAAAACAAAAACUCCACCGGAGCACAUUAUAACCAAAUUUUUGAAAACAAACAAUUUAGAGAAAAUCUUAAAAGUAACCAAAGGAAAAAAGACACAUUAUGUAUAAAGGAACAAAGAUAAAACAUAAGUACAGACUUCUCAUCUGAAACUACACAAGGAGACAAUGGACCAUGUUAUUUAAAGUGCUGAAUGAAAGAACAAAAUAAACUGUUGGCUUAGAUUUCUAGAUCCAGUAAAAAUAUUCCUCAGCAAUAAAAUUAAAUAAAUACUUGGAGACAAAUGUGAGCUGGGGUAAUUUGUUGCCAGCAGACUUAAACUAUAAGAAAUAUUGAAGAAUAUCCUUUAGACAGAAAGGAAAUUUCAGCAGAUGGAAACUUAGAUAUAGAAAAGAAAUGGAGAGUGCAAGGUGUGGUAAAUGUGCAAGGAAAUGUAAAAUGGGCCCUUCAAAACAAAUGUAAUAAUAUAUUUGCAAGCUUAUAAUAUAUGCAGAAGUAAAAUGUGGAACAAAAGACAGGAGAGGUUUUUAUAUGUGAAGUGGUAUAAUAUUAUUUGAAGGUAGAUUGUAAUAAGUUAAGGAAACCUAUAGUAAACCCUAGAGCAGAGACUGGCAAACUUGUGUAAAGAGCCAGAUAGUAGAAAUUUUAGGCUUUGCAUGCUACAUGGUCUCUGUGACAACUACUUAGUUCUGCCAUUGCAGCAUGAAACUCGUCAGCUAGAUAGACAACCAUA